CUAUUGUGUAUUAAUGGUUGGAAAGAUCUUGAAAUCAGGAAUAAAAGUCAUGUUGGGCAAAAAACCAUUUGACAUGUGCAAAUUGAUCAAAACUGGCUUGGAAAGUUCAAGUGUAAAACAUGUUCAAAUCACUUUGAAAAAUCAACCAAAAGUAAGCUUGGUUAAGCCCCUUUUUCCUUAUGAUACAAGCUUCAAAUGAAAA
rnacentral:lncRNA from 1 species